AAAGUCGUAACAAGGUUUCCGUAGGUGAACCUGCGGAAGGAUCAUUAACCAAUAAUCCAUACCCACCUUUUGUGCACUGUAACUUGUCCAUCGUUUUCCUUCCUGGGUUCUUUUCGGUCAGAGGAGUCUCCUUUGUGGGGCUUUGAUGCCGGGAUGCCGGGGAGGACAGCGAUAUAUCACACACGUUUAUUUUUACCGAGUCUGAAGUGUAACUUUUUGCGAAAGCAGAAAUUAUUAAAACAACUUUCAACAACGGAUCUCUUGGCUCCC
rnacentral:misc_RNA from 1 species